CCGAAUAGGGGAGCCGGAGGGAAACCGAGUCUUAAUUGGGCGUUAAGUUGCAGGGUAUAGACCCGAAACCCGGUGAUCUAGCCAUGGGCAGGUUGAAGGUUGGGUAACACUAACUGGAGGACCGAACCGACUAAUGUUGAAAAAUUAGCGGAUGACCUGUGGCUGGGGGUGAAAGGCCAAUCAAACCGGGAGAUAGCUGGUUCUCCCCGAAAGCUAUUUAGGUAGCGCCUCGUGAAUUCAUCUCCGGGGGUAGAGCACUGUUUCGGCUAGGGGGCCAUCCCGGCUUACCAACCCGAUGCAAACUGCGAAUACCGGAGAAUGUUAUCACGGGAGACACACGGCGGGUGCUAACGUCCGUCGUGAAGAGGGAAACAACCCAGACCGCCAGCUAAGGUCCCAAAGUCAUGGUUAAGUGGGAAACGAUGUGGGAAGGCCCAGACAGCCAGGAUGUUGGCUUAGAAGCAGCCAUCAUUUAAAGAAAGCGUAAUAGCUCACUGGUCGAGUCGGCCUGCGCGGAAGAUGUAACGGGGCUAAACCAUGCACCGAAGCUGCGGCAGCGAACGUAUCACUUAAAGCGAUUCAGCGGGUUACGAUUGACGGAGCGAAGCGACGUCAAAGCGUAUACAAAGUCGAGUCGGUUUAAGGAUACGUUCGUUGGGUAGGGGAGCGUUCUGUAAGCCUGUGAAGGUGGCCUGUGAGGGUUGCUGGAGGUAUCAGAAGUGCGAAUGCUGACAUAAGUAACGAUAAAGCGGGUGAAAAGCCCGCUCGCCGGAAGACCAAGGGUUCCUGUCCAACGUUAAUCGGGGCAGGGUGAGUCGACCCCUAAGGCGAGGCCGAAAGGCGUAGUCGAUGGGAAACGGGUUAAUAUUCCCGUACUUGGUGUUACUGCGAAGGGGGGACGGAGAAGGCUAUGUUGGCCGGGCGACGGUUGUCCCGGUUUAAGCGUGUAGGCUGGUUUUCCAGGCAAAUCCGGAAAAUCAAGGCUGAGGCGUGAUGACGAGGCACUACGGUGCUGAAGCAACAAAUGCCCUGCUUCCAGGAAAAGCCUCUAAGCAUCAGGUAACAUCAAAUCGUACCCCAAACCGACACAGGUGGUCAGGUAGAGAAUACCAAGGCGCUUGAGAGAACUCGGGUGAAGGAACUAGGCAAAAUGGUGCCGUAACUUCGGGAGAAGGCACGCUGACACGUAGGUGAAGUGAUUUACUCACGGAGCUGAAGUCAGUCGAAGAUACCAGCUGGCUGCAACUGUUUAUUAAAAACACAGCACUGUGCAAACACGAAAGUGGACGUAUACGGUGUGACGCCUGCCCGGUGCCGGAAGGUUAAUUGAUGGGGUCAGCGCAAGCGAAGCUCCUGAUCGAAGCCCCGGUAAACGGCGGCCGUAACUAUAACGGUCCUAAGGUAGCGAAAUUCCUUGUCGGGUAAGUUCCGACCUGCACGAAUGGCGUAAUGAUGGCCAGGCUGUCUCCACCCGAGACUCAGUGAAAUUGAACUCGCUGUGAAGAUGCAGUGUACCCGCGGCAAGACGGAAAGACCCCGUGAACCUUUACUAUAGCUUGACACUGAACAUUGAGCCUUGAUGUGUAGGAUAGGUGGGAGGCUUUGAAGUGUGGACGCCAGUCUGCAUGGAGCCGACCUUGAAAUACCACCCUUUAAUGUUUGAUGUUCUAACGUGGACCCGUUACCCGGGUUGCGGACAGUGUCUGGUGGGUAGUUUGACUGGGGCGGUCUCCUCCUAAAGAGUAACGGAGGAGCACGAAGGUUGGCUAAUCCUGGUCGGACAUCAGGAGGUUAGUGCAAUGGCAUAAGCCAGCUUGACUGCGAGCGUGACGGCGCGAGCAGGUGCGAAAGCAGGUCAUAGUGAUCCGGUGGUUCUGAAUGGAAGGGCCAUCGCUCAACGGAUAAAAGGUACUCCGGGGAUAACAGGCUGAUACCGCCCAAGAGUUCAUAUCGACGGCGGUGUUUGGCACCUCGAUGUCGGCUCAUCACAUCCUGGGGCUGAAGUAGGUCCCAAGGGUAUGGCUGUUCGCCAUUUAAAGUGGUACGCGAGCUGGGUUUAGAACGUCGUGAGACAGUUCGGUCCCUAUCUGCCGUGGGCGCUGGAGAACUGAGGGGGGCUGCUCCUAGUACGAGAGGACCGGAGUGGACGCAUCACUGGUGUUCGGGUUGUCAUGCCAAUGGCACUGCCCGGUAGCUAAAUGCGGAAGAGAUAAGUGCUGAAAGCAUCUAAGCACGAAACUUGCCCCGAG
rnacentral:rRNA from 1 species